UUUAAUACAAGAACUUUGACAAAUAGUCAAAUAGUUAUAUUUAUGUUUUUUUUUUUCUUUUUUAUAUAAAAUGGUAAUGUUACAUUAUGAAGAUAAGCCAUUUCUUUUAGUGAAAAUGGUAAUCUUACAUAUGUUUAAUGUAGUUUUUCUAUUUUUUUUAUGUUGUAUGUUUACAUAUUAUUGUUAUUUUUAAAUGUAAAAUGGUAAUACUACAUAUGCUUAAUAUAUUAUUUUCAUUUUUAUGUUGUAUGUUUACAUAUUAUUUAUUAUUUUCUAAAUUAUAUAUGGAGAUAAACCGUCUUUUUUUUAGUGAAAAAUGGUAAUU
rnacentral:lncRNA from 1 species